CAGACACAGAACAUUCCCACAAUGCAUUAGCAUUCCCUCCCCUCUGCCCUGGAGAUAAUUGAGAAGAAAUUCAAUUAUCUCCAGGACAGAGGCAAAUCACCAUUUUAAAUUCAACACAGCAAAACAUAUGAAAAUCUAUAACUUUACUUUUGUCGAAUGCUACACAUUCGUAUCACGUAUCCCCAGAUAGCCUGGAUCUGAG